rnacentral:rRNA from 1 species
AAAUUGAAGAGUUUGAUCAUGGCUCAGAUUGAACGCUGGCGGCAGGCCUAACACAUGCAAGUCGAACGGUAACAGGAAACAGCUUGCUGUUUCGCUGACGAGUGGCGGACGGGUGAGUAAUGUCUGGGAAACUGCCUGAUGGAGGGGGAUAACUACUGGAAACGGUAGCUAAUACCGCAUAACGUCGCAAGACCAAAGAGGGGGACCYUCGGGCCUCUUGCCAUCRGAUGUGCCCAGAUGGGAUUAGCUWGUWGGUGGGGUAACGGCUCACCUAGGCGACGAUCCCUAGCUGGUCUGAGAGGAUGACCAGCCACACUGGAACUGAGAC